rnacentral:rRNA from 1 species
GUGAGGAAUAUUGGUCAAUGGACGGAAGUCUGAACCAGCCAUGCCGCGUGAAGGAUGAAGGCGUUCUGCGUUGUAAACUUCUUUUAUCAGAGAAGAAACCACUGAUUUCUAUUAGUGUUGACGGUAUCUGAUGAAUAAGCACCGGCUAACUCCGUGCCAGCAGCCGCGGUAAUACGGAGGGUGCAAGCGUUAUCCGGAUUUACUGGGUUUAAAGGGUGUGUAGGCGGGCUAUUAAGUCAGGGGUGAAAUCCCGGGGCUCAACCUCGGAACUGCCUUUGAUACUAUUAGUCUUGAAUUAUGUUGAGGUUGGCGGAAUAUAACAUGUAGCGGUGAAAUGCAUAGAUAUGUUAUAGAACACCGAUUGCGAAGGCAGCUGGCUAAACAUAUAUUGACGCUGAGGCACGAAAGCGUGGGUAGCGAACAGGAUUAGAUACCCUGGUAGUCC